UACGAAGGGGGCUAGCGUUGCUCGGAAUUACUGGGCGUAAGGGCGCGUAGGCGGCACUGUUAGUCAGGCGUGAAAGUCCUGGGCUCAACCUGGGAACUGCGCUUGAUACGGCAGAGCUAGAGGAUGGAAGAGGCUCGCGGAAUUCCCAGUGUAGAGGUGAAAUUCGUAGAUAUUGGGAAGAACACCGGUGGCGAAGGCGGCAUCCUGGACCAACACUGACGCUGAGGAGCGAAAGCCAGGGGAGCAAACGGG
rnacentral:rRNA from 1 species